CCCAAAUAAUUAAAUCUUGCCAAACAUUUGGUAGAAGAAUAUAUUUACACACGUCUUUUUUAUGUGUAUACUCAGUACAUUUUAACUUAAAUUUUAAAACUCUGUGUGUGUAUGUGUGUGUGUGUGUGUGUGUGUGUGUGGUGUGCACCUGGGA
rnacentral:sRNA from 1 species